UUUAAAAUAGCUCAGUGGUAGAGCGUUUGCCUAGCAAGCGCAAGGCCCUGGGUUCGGUCCCCAGCUCCAAAA
rnacentral:tRNA from 1 species